UACGUAGGUCCCGAGCGUUGUCCGGAUUUAUUGGGCGUAAAGCGAGCGCAGGUGGUUUAUUAAGUCUGGUGUAAAAGGCAGUGGCUCAACCAUUGUAUGCAUUGGAAACUGGUAGACUUGAGUGCAGGAGAAGAGAGUGGAAUUCCAUGUGUAGCGGUGAAAUGCGUAGAUAUAUGGAGGAACACCGGUGGCGAAAGCGGCUCUCUGGCCUGUAACUGACACUGAGGCUCGAAAGCGUGGGGAGCAAACAGG
rnacentral:rRNA from 2 species